AAGGCGGAGGACCAAUCGUGCAAAUAAUCCAUGGAGCCUUGACAUAAAGUCCAAACGGUGCCAUUUUGCUUAUGUCAUUAGAAACAAAAAGUUUCCUAGCACCUUCAUGCCGCCGUCGCCGUGCCAACCACGGAGCCACCGCGUACGGCGCUCGAAACCAGUUUGUGAUCCGUUUCAGGGACACGGGAGGAGACGUGCGUGGAAACUGCAACCACUGGCACACACGCGCGAAACUGCUACUAGGGUUUCCUGAUCCUUCCUCUGCUAUUGGUUUCGGGCUACUGUUUGGGCUCAUUUGGGUUUAGUCUAGGCUUGGGUUAAUUGGGUUUAGUAAUGGACUGUUAAUUAUUUAGUUUUUUAGCCAGGCCAAAAUUGGCCUAUUACGUAUAUUUUAUUUCUUUUUUUUUUUUGUCAUUUUAUUUGACAAGUUGUUACAUACAUAGUCAAUUAUAAGCAGGAAAAAAAACUCAAACUGCCAUUUCUCAGUCA